UUAAUGCGGAGAGUCAUUCCCGUGCUUGCUUAGGUCAUUGAGGCGAGGGAGAGUGCGAUAGCGGCAGCGGCUAGGUUUGUCUUCCUGUUUCUCCAGUUGUUGGGUUAUCGCUUGAAGAGCAAUGGAGACGGACGAAAUGGGUCUUGUGGAAUUGUUUGGUUACGACAAGCUGGAAAGAGAAUUAAUCCUCAGACAAAACAAUUAUUCUUCACCUUCGACGCUAUUUGACGCGAUAAAUGAUGACCGUGAUGAGAUGACACCAGAGGAAGAGUACUCCUACAGCGAACAAGUUUUGAAGAGUGACGGCUUUGAUGUUUCUGACAUCCCUGGCGUCAGUUGUUUCCACCAAAUUCAACCGUGCAACAUAGCCUACGAUUAUGAUAUGUAUAGACGGUAUUCGCAGCUCGCAAUCGAUGAAUACAAUCGUCGGUUCAAGGAUGCCAAUGCAGAGUUGGAGUUUGUUAAGGUCUUGAUGGUAAUGGGUCAGGCUGCGAACGGAAUCAGGUAUUAUAUAACCUUCAUGGCCAAGGAUCUUGGCAAUGGAGGUGAGAUUAAGACGUAUCAAGCUGUGGUAUUAGAUGGGAUAGGCUCUAAGACAGCGAAAUCCUUUAGGCUAAAGCCCCCCGAGGAUGAGCGAGAAAAUCAAAGACUCGUUAGGAUGAAAUUGAUACUCAUGCGCAAUCUCCAUGAUAUUCAAGUGAUGGGUAAGAAAGAUUCUUAUCUGACAAUAUGACAGCAAUAAAAAAUGAGGUUGUUCACAUUGUCAAGGAGAUUACACUCGUGGAUGAGAUGAGCUGGAUGUGUAGGAAGAGCAGGGCUUCAUAGUGAUGUGGCCAGAGCACUUUGGUACUCAAUUUUCAAAUGUCUUCGGAUAGUUUGGGUUAGGCCCUUGGGAAGGGUGGAGCUUAUGGCAUGCUGAAAGGGAAAAUGAUUCUGGCAGUCAUGGGAGACACUGGUUUUGGGAAAAUCACCUUUGCAAUGGUGAAACAUGUUGUAUUUGAAGAUCUUUCAAGAGGUGAAAUGCGGAUGGA